rnacentral:tRNA from 1 species
CGGGGUGUAGCUCAGUGGUGUAGAGCACUGCCUUCGGGAGGCAGGGGUCGCUGGUUCAAGUCCAGUCACCCCGA